rnacentral:pre_miRNA from 1 species
UUAACCCAAAUUAGUAUGGAGUGGGAAAGUUUGUUCACGUUUGCCGCUAGGGGCGCUGUUCCAACUGCAUACAAAUUUGAGUUA